GGGGGCUGAAAUGAACUCUGUGAGGAUUCUUAGCUUUGGUGGUUUAAUGCUCUAUUUUUGUGCUUGUUGGCCUCCUGCCAGGUGGCGGCGCUUUCCGGAGAGCAUCAGCUGUGGUAACAUGGAGAGAAACCAGAGAGUGGGUGGGGCUUUAGAACUUCCAAGACAGAGGCUCUGGAAGCCUCUGUCUUCAGCUACCAGAGUGGGUAGGGAAGGACCAUCAAGUGGGGGCAGGGCUAGGUGUGUCUGAGCUCAGACUCUCCUUGGGUGAGUCUUGCUGUGGCUGCUGUGGGGGAGGGGGGGGUGAGGUUCCCAGGUGAAUAGAGUUGUGUACCUAGGAGGAUAAUGGCUGCCUCUGCUGAGUCAUGCAGGUUGUUAGGGAAGUGAGGGAAAGCUGGCAGUCACAGGCCUCACCCAGCUCCCAUGCAAUCCAAAUGGCCAGUCUCACUCUCACCAUGCCCCCUCUAAAGCAUUGAGUCUGUUUCCAAGCAGUGGGUAAGCAGGGGUGAGAACUUGCCGCAGGCUACCCACCUCCCAGCUGUGAAAGAAAAGGGCUUUCGUUCUUCCCCCACCUGUGGAGUCUACACGCUGGAUUUGUGCCCUCCCUUGAGUUCUGGCCAGGAGGCUUCUCCACCUGUUCAAAUUGUUAUAAAGUUCAGCUGGAGACUUCCUUCUCUCCGUGGCAUUUUCCUCAUGCCUCUGGCCACCCUCCCAAAGGAUCCCUGUGAGGCCAGGCAGGAAUGGCCUGCUUGGGGACCCAGCAAGCUUCUAGGGCCUUUGCUGCUGCUUCCUCUACCCCUGUAUUUCGCUCGGCUCUCUAAAUGGACUCAGCUCCAGACAGGCUGCAUGGAGAUUGUAGCAUGAAUGCAGAUAUUGGAAAUUUACUGGAUGUAUGAUCAGACAAACCAAUUGAAGUGGAGAAGAGAACCAAUCAGCCAAAUCAUUACAGAAGUUGCACCACUGCCUGAAAUAUCUUGACUGAUUCUAUAUAAGUUGAAUUUUUGCCGAAUAAAUUCUGAAAAUAAUUACAAGCUUCCUUUUGAUUUGAAUGUUACACAUCAAGUUCUAGUAAGAGCUAAUUUUACAUCAUUGACAGAUAACAAAAUAGAAGGAACAAAGUGCCCUUUGAGUUAAGGGCACUCCAAUGUCCCGGAAUUUAACCUUUUUGUCAGAUCAAUAAGGUUUAGUGCAACUAGCCAGACACCUGUCC
rnacentral:lncRNA from 1 species